GUCGAGAAGGUGACAUUUACAGGGGUCGUUGGUAUGGAGAAGUCCUCAUUUAUACUAUUAGAGAAACAAAUGGAAAAGAAAAAGAAAUGAAUCAAUUCUUAGACGAGGUAGCUCAGAUGGGCAUGAUUAGGCAUGAAAAUAUUGUUCUUUUUAUGGGUGCCUGCAUAGAACCACAAAAACUGGCUGUUAUCACUAGUAUGCGGAAAGGACCUACGCUGUUUGAAUAUUUACAUUUAAAGCGACACAGGCUGCCAUUUCAUUCUAAGCAUAAUAUAGCUCGUCAAAUAGCUCA